CGGGAGGCAGCAGUGGGGAAUAUUGGACAAUGGGCGCAAGCCUGAUCCAGCAAUUCCGCGUGGGUGAAGAAGGUCUUCGGAUUGUAAAGCCCUUUCGACGGGGACGAUGAUGACGGUACCCGUAGAAGAAGCCCCGGCUAACUUCGUGCCAGCAGCCGCGGUAAUACGAAGGGGGCUAGCGUUGCUCGGAAUUACUGGGCGUAAAGGGCGCGUAGGCGGCUUAGUUAGUCAGGCGUGAAAUUCCUGGGCUCAACCUGGGGACUGCGCUUGAUACGGCUAGGCUAGAGGAUGGAAGAGGGUCGCGGAAUUCCCAGUGUAGAGGUGAAAUUCGUAGAUAUUGGGAAGAACACCGGUGGCGAAGGCGGCGACCUGGUCCAUUACUGACGCUGAGGCGCGACAGCGUGGGGAGCAAACAGGAUUAGAUACCCUGGUAGUCC
rnacentral:rRNA from 1 species